UACCAAGCUCUGCUGUUCCCGAAACUCCUCCAGGGAUAAACUUGAUCCCAGCUGCCCAAACCUUUUCCAUGCCUUCUUCUUACUCUUGACCGAAGCCUCACUUUCCCUCGUCAUCCACAC